UACGAGGGGUCCUAGCGUUGUUCGGAAUCAUUGGGCGUAAAGCGGGUGUAGGCGGAUCUGAAAGUCAGAUGUGAAAGCCCUGGGCUUAACCCAGGAAGUGCAUUUGAUACUACAGAUCUUGAGUGUGGUAGAGGCUAGUGGAAUUCCAGGUGUAGCGGUGAAAUGCGUAGAUAUCUGGAGGAACAUCGGUGGCGAAGGCGGCUAGCUGGACCAACACUGACGCUCAGACCCGAAAGCGUGGGGAGCAAACAGG
rnacentral:misc_RNA from 1 species